rnacentral:lncRNA from 1 species
GGCAGCUACUCGGGAGGCUGAGGCAGGAGAAUGGCAUGAACCCGGGAGGCGGAGAUUGAAGUGAGCCCAGAUCGCGCCACUGCACUCUAGCCUGGGCAACAGAGCAAGACUCCGUCUCAAAAAAUAAAUAAAUAAAUAAAAUAAAUACAAAUACAGUAUUUUCUAUUUUUCAUAUUAACUGGCACGUCUUUCAUGCAGCAAAUCCAGUUCAGACUGGGCGCAAUUCAUGUGCUCAGCCGCCGCAUGUGGUGAGUGACAGAGACCGUCCUGCAUGUGUGUGCACUUUUUACUGCCUUUUCCUUGACCACAGAUUCUACCUCCUGUUUCUCUGUGUAUGCAGUGAUUAUUUGCUGAGUAUUACACAUUGUAGGUAACAUGUUGAGCACACUCAGGAUCCCUAACCUUCCUCUGAAGCUUUCCAGCUCUUGUUUUAGCAAGUAGCACAGGCACUGCUGGGUCAUCGUGACAGGGGCAGACUUGGAUUGAUUCGCUGCUGGUGUGGAUCUGUGGAGAACUCCCAUCCUGCACCCACUCCGAUCUCCCCCUCCUGGACGUGGGUGAUAUGCUCUGCCCACACCUGAGCUCUCUCCAAUCUCCGCCUCCUGGACGUGGUAGGGUGGCCAUGCUCAGCUCACACCUGAGCUCUCUCCGAGCUCCGCCUUCUGGACUCAGUAGAGUGGCCAUGCUCCGCCCACACCUGAGCUCUCGGUGCCACGAUCUGCAGGUGUACUCCAGAGGACAAGUGUACUGUGGAAACUAUGCUCCAGGUCAGCAGCCAGUCAUUUCAUAGAAGAUAAACUUCAAGAACAUUCUCUGAAGGGCAGUGAAACUGAGUAAGAUCUAACCACUGUUACCAGCAACCAAGAAACAUAGGUAAGAAAAUGCAACUAAGAUUUGGAUCAAGUAACUACGGUAAUAAACAUGCAGACUAUCGCUAAGCA